rnacentral:tRNA from 1 species
CCUGGUGACUCAGAGGGUAAAGCGUCUGCCUGCAAAGCAGGAGACCUGGGUUCGAUCCCUGGGUCAGGA